GGAGACAUAACAUGAAAAACCCACUUUUUUAUCCAUUAACACGGUGUGUUUCACAUUUUAAGUGUCUAAGUGAGCAAAAAGGCUUAUAUUAUUCACUGGAGUUGCUAUUUAGAUAUUUAAUAAUUAAGUUUUGGGCAUAUUUGUCCACCCGUUCAGUUUUUACAUUAUCUAUUACAUCAGUAAUUAAUUUAGUGAGGAUAACUACCAAAUAUGGUAAUGGCCCUCGGCUAAACACAGAGCCAAUCCGCCAUUUUUUCUUCUCGCUAAGAUUUUUUGUAGUCCUAUUGGAAAAAUGCAGAAUGUCUGGUUAUUUUAGCCACACACAGCUCAAAACUGUUCCUCGUUUUAAGGAAGGGUGGUGUGGCAGUAUUUAAACCCAGGAGCUGAUGACACUACUGCUAAAAAAAACACAGAAGAAAAAGUAGUGUGUUUGCGUUUGUUUGUGUGUGUGUGUGUGUGUGCGUGCGCGCGCGCGCGCGUGGUUCGUUCGUUCUGUCUCCAGGCUAGUGGCUAAGUACUGAGGGCUUCAUCUAUCUAAAAGGAGUUAUUUCCAUCUGAAUUUGGCAGCACCGGGACACAGCAGCAGAGCGAGUCCACAUCCAGAAGACUGGAGCCGUGUUUCACUGACAGGCUGUCAGACUAACGCCCUGAUGAGCUCAGCUGGGACAAACUGGUCUGAUGUUUAGGAACACAGAACGUUCAGAUGUUGGCGUUUCACGUCACCUACUGAGGAAGGAGACCCACCAGUAAAGAGACGGUCUGGACCAGACCAAAAAUAUGGCGAUGACAUCAUGGAACUGGUCUCUGGAAAAGUUUUCCCUGAACCAACUCCGUUUCUAGAUGAGGUAGAGAAGAUCUGCAUCUCACCAACUCUCUGGUCUCAGUAUUCAGACAACGGAGGUCUCCCACUGUUGUCCAGGACCAGUUUGAAGCCCACAUACUGCCCCUCCCUCAUCAUCAGGAAACAUCAAUCCGUAUCCUGAGGACAACAGAAGACGGCAGGAGGACAGGAACUCUGAGACCUAGACACCACCAGCACCGAGACACAAAGCACCUGUGUGCACAACGCCUGUUUAACUACUAAAACCUGUUUAUUAUAUAGUUCUACUUAUUUGCUGUGAGGUUAAUACUUAGAAAAUUUGUAUAUUAAUGUAAACAAUAAAAAAAAUCACUGAUUGUAUGCUUUCUUUUAGAUGUAAUGGUCCAAACUCAGCCUUGUAGACAUUUAUUGCAUCCUGUAGGUAAAUACACAGAACAGGCUCAGGUCCAGGAUGACCCAGCAUGCUCUUCUUCCAUUCUGGCUGUUAGGGAUUGUAUCAAUAACUCAAUGCCUACUGAUGUUUUCACCUAACGGUAUUUAUUUAGAAUGCAGGUAAGAUUUAACUAUAUUUGUUAGCAAAGCAGACUGAUCUUAGGAAUUUCACUGCAGCACUGAUGUCCACCUCUCUGUACACAUUAGAGAGAAUUACCACUUUACAGCUAAACACAUUUAAUAAAGAUAUAGGCUACGCAUUGCAGACAAUAAAAACAAAGUUGUAAGCAUUAGAAUUAUAAUGAUGACAUUAAAGAACACUUGGAGGAAUGUUCUUUAUUUUUGACUAGAAUCUCAAAUCUUUAAAUUAAAAUGUAACUGCUUUUUAUCCAUUUUCAGCCAUUAAGACACCCAAUAUAAAAUAAGACUACUUAUAAAAUUAUUUAUAAUUAUAUGUAUGUAUAUAGAUAGAGAUCUUAAUAAAAUAUAUUCUUUGAA